UCGUCUUGUCUUCCUGUUCUUCACUACUCGUCCCAACAUGGAUCGCUUGGACAACUUCGUUUCGCUUUUUUGUUUUUAGUUUUCAAAUGUCCCUUGUGUUAUAAAGCUACUUGACGCCAUGUUUACCACCACCGGUUCCCGGGGCUUGUACAAGGCUCCUCUGUCCAAAGGCCUCCUGCUGGUGCUCAGUGGGCUGACAGUGAUGCUCAGCCUCCUUCCACAGUACCAACACAUGUUUGAGUACAACCUGCAGGCUGUCAGCCAACAGCAACAAGCGUGGAGGCUGUUGUGUGGCAGGCUGGUGUGUCUCGAUGUGAAAGACUCCUUCUGCAGCGGCCUGCUUAUCUACAACUUCAGAAUCUUUGAGAGGAGGUUUGGCUCCAGGAAGUUUGCUUCUUUCAUGUUAGGCACCUGGUGUCUCUCGGCACUGCUGGACUUCCUGUUGGCUCAGGCUGUCUGCUUUCUCUUUGACUACGAGGUGGAGGAGCUGCCUGCAGGACUGCUGGCCCCAGUCUUCUCCCUCUUUGUGCCUUUUCACUGGUCCAUCCCCAAGGUGCCAGUCACCCGGGUGCUGGGCCACAUCAGCAUCACCAACAAGACCCUGGUCUACAUAGUCGGGCUGCAGCUGUUGACCUCCAGCCCCUUCAUGUGGCUCCUCGCACUCAGCGGACUGAUCUCAGGUGGUUUGUACCACGCCAACAUUCUCUGGGUGCAGAAGCUUCUCUUUGUGCCCGCCUGGUUGUGUUUUGUCGCACGCUACCUCCUGGAGCCCAUCUUUUCCAGCUCACCACCGACCAGUGAGGCUCCUCUGGGGAUGGGCGCCACACUGGACAUCCAGAGGCAACAGAGGAUGGACCAACUGGAUCAACAGCUGCUGCUGGCCCAGUUCAACGAGGCCCGCCUGAGCGCCAGACACACGCCACAGGCCGGGUUGCUCCAGUGGACCAGGUUGUUUCCCACCCUGAGGCGAAGAGGACAGAACCGUCCCCCUGCCCAGCCCGGCCCACAGGCUCAAAUGCACCCCUCCGCCCAGGCGCCACCGUUGGACAACUCUGUUGCAGAGGAACAGGUCGCAAGGCUGGUAGAAAUGGGCUUCUCCAGGAUGGACGCCCUGGAGGCCCUCAGAGCGUCGAACAACGACAUCAACAUGGCCACCAAUUUCCUCCUGCAACACUGAGAGAGAGAGAGAGAGAGAGCGAGAGGGAGAAGUUGGGGCUGAGAGCAGGAAUAGAUGCAAACUAAAGCUGCACAGCUGACAGCGGAAAAGCAGAAGUGGCGUGGUGGCAAAGGCGAAUAUUUCCCGUACAGGUAAAUAUGAGGCAGCGUGCUGCUGAUGGCGCCUCAAGACGGAACAGUUCAGACCCACGAAGGUUUGGAGCACAGUGUGGGACGGGGGGAGGGCAGAUAUAACUUUCAACAACAACAAAAACCCCACAGGUGUUGAUCAUUUCUACUUUCCACUGCAGUGUAACCAGACACCCUCAUAACAUAUGCAAAGCAUCACACAACAGAUACUCCAUAUAUUUUUAUACAGUAUUCAUUCAUUCAUUCACACUGGAUUGAAGAGCCCCUUGCUUAUUUUUAACUUUGUUUGGUGGUUGAACAGUCCAGAACCUUUCAUUUUGGAAUCAAAAACUAUGAAGCUCAUGACCUUUUUAUGACCUUCAUGCUAAUGCAGGUUUCUUGUUUAACAUUUGUGUGUCUCAAGUCGGAAAGUGUAACUGAAGCAGAGGACCGGUCACAACAUUAGGUACACCUGGGCUAAAUAGUGGGGGUGUCGCCAGAUUAAAACGUGACAAGAUUUGUCGUUGAGGAAAAAGAAAAACCAUUCCAAAAAACCCAUUCCAAAUAAAGUCACAAGAUAAAUAAAAAAGAAAUCAAUAAUUGGGCCAGUCCCUGUCUAUUUUCCUUCUCUCUCGCCUGUGUGUAUACCAGCCGCCCCCUGGUAUACACACAGAGCAAAAGAGCGGAGCCUCUUGAGGAGCAUUGCAAGUUAACGUAGUAGAAAUUAGGAGGGGAAAAAGAUUUCAAGAAAUGCUGCAAACGUUUGACAGACAGUACAAAUUGCCUGUUAUAAAAUGUCACAAACCUUAGAGAGUGAAAGAUGACAUACGAAAGGAAAUAUCGCAUUAUGAUAUUAUUAUUAUUGUUAUUAUAUAUUGUUAUAACAUUAGUGGUGUUUGGCCUCAAAAAAUGUUGACAUUAAUAUUUUUUAGUGUCAAUUUGUGGGACAAUAAACAUUUCAAAACGUACCUGUAUUGCUUUGUGACUCGGUUAAAUAAAAAAAGUUUGUCCAGUCCUAUUUUUUUCCAUUGUAUAUUUCUUAAAAUUAAUGUUAAAAUCUCGUCUUGUGGACCUGAUCUCGUGCACCGUCUCGUCUUGUGAGUUGGGUGUCUCGUGACACCCCUACUUAAUAGCGUAAAUGCUCUACUUAUGAGCAUUCAUCCACAUAAACUGCAAAUUAAAACAGUUUUUUUUUAAUGAGUUGGAGUGCAUGAGAAAGUCGAAAGGAACGCGUACUGCACUUUUGACGCCGAUGAGUUCUAACAGCUGAGUAGCAACACUUUAAAGCACAUGCAGAGGUAGAUCAAACUGCUGAUCCUUCCUCCUUUUGUAAAGGCAGCUCUUCCACUGGUGUACCUAAUCCUGUGGCCAGUGAGUGUAAAUCUCAAAGAUUUAUUUAUUUACUGUAGUCUGCCUGUGCAGCCACACAUCUGAAGCCUAAAACGUUGUAAAUGUUUAAUUUAUUAUGCAAUAAAUACCAACAGUGGCUGUGCCCAAGCAUAGCACAUACUACAGUGCAGCGUGUUUAUAUACGGUGAUAAUGAUGUACAACAGUCCGUCAUGUAUUGUUGUUAGUGACAGGUACCAGUUUUGUGCGGAAUGCUAAUAUGUGAGCACUCUGGUUUGUUGUCAGAGUGGGCUAACAGUGUGUGAUAAGGGACGUGUCGCAUGGAUUCACUAUCGUGGCACACUGGAACAAACCAUUUGCUGUGUGAAAUAAAUCAACUUGCUGACUUGCUGAGGUUUGCUCAGCACACUUUCACUGUGGAGCACACACGUUCUGUUUGUUGGGCUGAUUGAAAUUGGUAGUUCAAGUACACUGGAGUGAUGUAGUCCAGGGGUGUCCAAACGUUUUCCAGCGUGGGCCGCGCAGUGAGAAAUGAAAGGAUGCAACUUUGCCACUUUGAUGUUUUGUAAAGCAACACAUGUAGACAUUCUAAGAGCUUAGCGUAUAUACAGUACAGUGGUGUGAAAAAGGGUUUGCUCUGUUCCUGAAUUCUUAUUAUUUUGCAUGUUUGUCACACUUAAAUGUUUCAGAUCAUCUAACAAAUUUAAAUAUUAGUGACAAAACAACUGAACACAAAAUGUAGUUUUUAAAUGAAACGUUUUACUAUGAAGGGAGAAAAAAAAUCCAAAUCUACAUGUCCCUGUGUGGAAAAGUAAUUGCCCCUUAAAGCUAAUAAGUGGUUGGGCCCCCCUUAGCAGCAACAACAAUCAAGCGUUUGUGAUAACUUGCAAUGAGUCUCUUACAGCGCUGGGGAGGAAUUUUGGCCCACUCAUCUUUGCAGAAUUGUUGUCAUUCAGUCACAUUGGAGGCUUUUCCAGCAUGAAGCGCCUUUUUAAGGUCAUGCCACAGCAUCUCAAAGUCCAAAGUCUUGAUUUUGUUUCUCUUCAGCCAUUGCUGGUGUGUUUUGGAUCAUUGUCCUGCUGCAGAACCCAAGUUGCUUUCAGCUGGAGGUCACCAACAGAUGGCCGGACAUUCUCCUUCAGCAGAAUUCAUGCUUCCAUUUAUCACAGCAAGUCUUCCAGGUCAUGAAGCAGCAAAACAGCCCCAGGCCAUCACACUACCACCACCAUAUUUUACUCUUAGUAUGAUGUUCUUUUUCUGAAAUGCGACGUUACUUUUACGCCAUAUGUAAUGGGACACACACCUUCCAAAAAGUUCAACUUUUGUCUCGUCAGACCACAGAGUAUUUUCCCAAAGGUGUUGGGGAUCAUCAAGAUGUUUUCUGGCAAAAUUGAGACGCGCCUUAAUGUUGUUUUUGUUCAGCAGUGGUUUUUGCCCAGUGUCUUUCUUAUGGUGGAGUCAUGAAAACUGACCUUAACUGAGGGCUGCAGUUCUUUGGAUGUUGUUGUGGGGUCUUUUGUGGCCUCUCAGAUGAGUCGUCACUGCGCUCUUGGGGUCAUUUUGGUUGGCCGGCCACUCCUGGGAAGGUUUCGUAAAAUUACAGCUGUCCUUUCCAUUUCUGUUGUUGUUUUUGUAAAAUAUCCAUCCACUUUCUAUGCCGCUUAUUCUCAUUAGGGUCGCGUGGGUAUGCUGGAACCUAUCCCAGCUGACCUUGGACGAAAGGUGGGCUACACCCUGGACUGGUGUCCAGCCAAUGGCAGGGCACAUAUAGACAAACAACCACUCACACUCACAUUCAUACCUAUGGACAAUUUAGAGUCUCCAAUUAACCUCAUGUGGAAUGUGCACAUUUCCGGACAUGUGGGAGGAAACUGGAAAAUGAAUAAAAAUAAUAAAUUAAAAUUAAAUAAAAUAUUUUCCAACUAUUUCAACUUUCCUCUUGUAAAUCUUCUUCACAUAAGUAUGACUUUAUUCCUGUAAUAUUUAUAUACGUAUUUAUAUAAUUUCUUAUUCUUUUAAUAUUUACAUUUUUUUCCCCAAUUUUAAUUUUAUUUUAAUUUUUUUCUCAUAUUACAUUUUUUUAAAGCUUUUUUUGUUUAAUAUUUCAACUUUAUGGUACUAAAAUAUCUUUUUCCUCAUAAUAUUGCAUGUUUAUUACCGUAAUUGUGCCUUUUUUUCUUGUAAGAAUAUGACUUUUUUGUCUCAAUAUUUUGACUUUAUUCUUGUGAUAUGAUAACUUUUCCCCCAAUUUAAUUUUCAAAAAAUGACAACUUUUUUUUCUUAUUAUAAACAUCUUUUUUUUUUUGAAUUUCUUUUUUCUUUAAUAUUUCAACUCUAUGCUAGUCUUUUUCCCCACAAUAUUGCAAGUUUAUUCCCGUAAAAUUGCGACUUUUUUCCUCUUAAUAGUUUGACUUUAUUCUCGUAAAAUUUCUGCUGUUUUUUUCCAUUUCUGCUGCUGCUUUUUAAAAUAACCGUACAAAUGUUUCCAUUUUCUUUUUGUGCAUUUUCCUCUCGUAGUAUUAUGACUAUAAUAUUUAGACUUUAUUCCCGUAGUAUUAAAACUUUUUCCUCAGCCUAAUUUUCCAAAAAUUACCACUUCAUUCUUUUUUGAAAUUUAUUUUUCAACUGAUUGCUACUAAAAUGACAUUAUUUUUCCUCAUUCUUGUGAAAAUACAACUUUUUUCUCGUUAGAUUGAAGCUUUUUUCUCUUAACAGUUUGGCUUUAUGUGAAAUUACUGCUGACUUUUCCGUUUUUGUUGUGGUUUUUUUAAGUUUCCUUGCUAAAUCAUAUUUCUAGAAUGUGCCGCUACAGUGGCUGAAUUGACUACAUUAACAAAACAUGUAAUCACAGUAACAAUCAUCUUAUACCAAACCGAGCAUUAUUAUUUUUGUAAAGGAAGAAUUCUUCAUUACAAUGUGAAGCUAUUGAAUUGAAGGUGUGGUUUCUAUUCUCACCACUAGAUGGCGGCAUUGAGUCAGCGUGCUGAGUUUACUGUGUGCCACGCCCACCUGCUCCUGAUAGUCUCCCAUCACCGAGCUUCAACAAUAUGAUGUAUGUUUUAUAUAGAUUUACAUAGACUAUUUUUAACCUUUUUAAAUAUUGGACACAUGGAAGGGUUAGAAAUGGUGUUUGUUCGGUAGAUCGUACUAAAUGGCCUAUUUUCCUCUUGUAUCGUUUAUGGUCAUUACAAUAAAGCUAAUGCUGGCUUUUGCAUCUUAACGUCCAAAGCGAGUCAGUUAGUGUCGCUUUUUAAUAGCAACAAGACAAAAACAAAGCAGCUGAGCUAAGUGAUGAUGAUAAUGUGCAUCUUUUGCACCUCGCCUUUUAAUUAAACACAACGAUGAAAGAAAAGAAAUACACAGCAGACCAACCUCUUUUGUGAAAUGUCUCCUUGAGGUGUCGUUAUCGAGCCUAAUCGCUGUUAUCACCUUUUAAUAUUCAAGCGCUAAUGGUAACAAGCGCUGUCUGUGUGACUCGUCAGCGCCACGCAUCACGUGUGAUUUAAAGGUCACCUACGAGGCGCAAGUGACUUUUUAGAGACGUUCUAACAGUAAUGUGUCCCGAGGGCCUGUGGAUGUGUGAAAAACCUAUCACUUUUGGGGUAGCGGGGAUUUCAUGACAUAACAAAGGUGGAAAUAAACUGCUUCCCAGGCUUCGCUACAAAUCUUAAAAUGCACCCCCGCAGUGCUGCCAGUUGUCCGUUGGUCGGCUACAAACGUGGGAGCUGUGCGGUUCAUCGUUUUCUUUAAUAUUUCAAUGCUAUGCUCCUAAAAUGACAUUAUUUUCCCUCAUAUUAUUACAGGCUUAUUGUCAUAAAAUUAUGACUUUUUUUUCUUGUUAGAAUACAACUUUUUUCUUUUAAUAUUUGGACUUUAUUCUUGUAAAAAAAAAACUUCAUUUUUUUCCUGCUGUUUUUUUCCACAGCUAUUUCAAAUUUUUUCUUGUAAACUAUCUUCUCGUAAUACAUGACUUUUAUUCUCGUAAUACAUUUACAUUACAAUUGUUUCUGAUAAUAUUCCGGCUUUAAACAAAUAACAUCUGUUUUCAUUAUAAUAUUACAUUAUUCUCUGAAAAUGUUUCUCAUUCGAUUACAACUUUUUUCUCUUAAUAUUUUGACUUUAUUUGUAUAAAAUUGCUGAUUUUUCAAUGUUUGCUGUUUUUUUGUAUUUUACUGUUUAAAUUCUAUUUGUAGAAUGUGCCACGGGCCAAUAAAAAACAGCUGUGGGCCGCAUAUGUGCCCGGGACCGCUCUUUGGACACCCCUGUUGUGUGUGAUAUGUAGCACAGAUCAUCCUCACCUGGCCAGUUCCACCUUAACUCUUGUGACUAAGUGUCACCUUAAAGUUGCAAAUAUGACCUGCAGGGACCUUGCAAGGUGCAUGGAAUGAAUGACAGCUCGUGACAUGCACUGUACUGUAAUGAUGUUGGAAUUUCCCCACAUGUAAACAGCAGACUGUACUAGCAAACGUGUUUCCAAAACAACAUGUGCAUGUAUGCCUCACUCUCGCGGCCCAGACGCCCGCUAAUAUUCCCCGGCCGGCCUUGUUGCCAUGGUGAGUGUGUGCCGUUUUGUAGGGUUGCCAUGGCAACGCCGUAUGUGAGAGCCUUCCAUCCUGCUCUCAUCCUGUGUGUGUGUGUGUGUGUGUGUGUGCGUGUGCUGAUUGCCUGAACAUGGAAGUAACAUUAGGAGCCACAAUAGAGAAGCUCCUAUUCAUAUUGGAGAUCAUCUUAAGUAUGACAAAAAUGUCACAUUUACUCUCUAAGUCAACAAAGCCAUACUUACGUAAGGCAAGAAUGCAAAAAACGCCUCCCACUGAUAUGCUAAUAACGUUGUACAUAACUAGUGGCGACACGUUCCUCCCCAGUACGUCUGUGCACGCACAUGCCCCACGAAAGAGCAUAGAGGAAUGUUUACAUCACAUUUUAGUGGUCUGCAUGCCUUGCUUGCGGUCGUCUUUAAUCAUUAGGGCUUGGCUGGGUUCACUUCAGGAAUUGCGGCUUUUGCUCCGCUUGUUUUUUUUUCAUGCCACGCCAAACAUAAAAGCUUGUUGAUGCUCUAAUUGUUUUUUGGGAAAAUCAAAACUUUUAUUAUUAUUAUUUAAUAUGAUCCAUCCAUCCAUCCAUUGUCCUCCGGGUCGCGAGGGGCAGCAGUCUCAGUAGGGAAGUCCAGACUUCCUGGUCCCCGACCACCUCUACCAGUUCCAUCGGGAGGACACCAAGGCGUUCCUAGGUCAACUGUGAGACACAAUCCCUCUAGUGUGUUCUAGGUCUGCCCUGGGUCUUUCUCCCAGCUGGGCAUGCCUGGUAAAUUGAGAGUUUGCCUUCCGGUUCACCACGGCGGUCCGGUACAGCGACCGCAUUACUGUAGACGCUGCACAGAUCCGCCUGUCAACCUCACACUCCAACCUUCCCUCACUUGUGAACAAGACCCCAGAUACUUGAACUCCUCCACAUGGGGCAAGACCUCGUUCCCAACCCGAAGGGAGCAAUCCACCUUUUUCCGACUGAGAACCAUGACCUCGGAUUUGGAGGUGCUGAGUCUCAUCCCAGAAGUUUCACAUUCAGCUGCAAACCUCCUCAGUAAACGCUGAAGGUCACAGCCUGAUGAGACCAUCAGGACCACAUUGUCUGUGAAUAGCAGAGACGAGAUUCUAACGCCCUUGAACUGGACCCUCUCGACACCUUGGCUGCGCCUAGAAAUUCUGUCCAUGAAAAUUCUGAACAGAAUGGGCAGCCUUGGCGGAGGCCAACGUUCACCGGAAACAGGCUGGACUUACUGCUGGCAAUGCCAACCAGGUUCUGCUGCGGUUGUGCAAGGACCGAUCUCCCAGAGCGCCCCCCGCAAGACACCGCGAGGGACACGGUCAAAUUGCCUUUUCCAAGUCCACAAAGCACAUGUAGACCGGUUGGGCAAACUCCCAAGUACCCUCCAGCACCCUUGCAAGGGUGUAGAGCUGGUCCAGUGUUCCACGAGGGGCACGAAAACCACAUUGCACCUCCUGUAGCCAAGGUUGGACUUACGGUCGUACCCUUCUCUCCAAGACUUUCCCAGGGAGGCUGAGGAGUGUGAUGCCCCCAUAGUUGGAACACACCCUCCGGUCACCCUUCUUGAAAAGGGGGACCACCAUUCAUUCAUUUCAAAUCUAACUUUAUUGACAGUGUGACUCAGUUACACUGCCAUGCGUCACUGAAAUAGUAGAAAUAUUGCAUCAUGAUGUUACAAAGUAUUCAGGUAACAUGAAGCCAAAAUGUUACUUCAUGUUAAGACUUUAAGUACACUAGCGGACAAAAUAUUAGGGACUCCAGCAGCCAAAAAACUGCGUAAACCCAAAAUAUUUGGUACACUUGCUGCCAAAAUAUUAGGUACACUAGAAGGCAGAAGGUUAGGUGCACCCAAAAUAUUAGGUACGGGUGAAGCCAAAAGAUCUUGUAUGCCCAAAAUAGCAGGUACACUUGAUGCCAAGAUAUUAGGUACACUAGCAACCAAAAGAUCAGGUAAACCCGAAAUAUUAGGUUCACAUGACACCCAAAAAAUUUGGUACACCCCAAAAUAUUAGGUUGACAUGAAGAUACUAUUUGGUGCGGUCAAAAUAUUAGUUACACUUGCAGCCAAAACAAUACGCACAUGCCCAAGUGUUAGGUUAUGGCCAAAAGAUUAGGUACAUUUAGGUACCGCUGGGGCCAAAAUAUUAGGUACACGCAAAUACACAUGAAGCCACACUAUUCUGUGCAGCAAAAUUUUAGGGCUACCAAAAAUUUGGGUUCACGUGAGGCCAAAAUAGUAAACAUUUUCCAUACGUUAGCAUCGUUAAAGUACCAAAGUAAGCCGUGUUCCCCGCCGCACAGGUUGCUAAACAACACCAAAGUCAAAACGUUCCGACCGUGACCAUUUGAUUUUGUGCAUUUCUGAGGACACGUGGCGCAUUCCAGUGUGUUUUGAAGGCACACGGAAAUGAAAGGUCAUUCGUUGUCUCCGCUGUCGAGCACUCAAAGGGAAGCAACUUGUCACCAUUCCAAUGCCGUCCUUUGCACUCUGACACAGAGCAGACGCUCCCCCAGUAAAAAUCAAACAUGCUGUCCGUCUGUUGACAAGAAUGGAACCAGGACACCCCCUCGACACCCCCCGGCCAGCCAUUAAACCUCAGCCUGACCCCGAACAGCCCCGCCCACCCCCAUCUGAAGAAUCUGUCAGUGACCUUUGAGUGAGUUUCAUUUCCUGCAGUAACUGGACACACGCUUUACGGCAGCGUUUGGAUGCGUGGCCGUGUUUAUUUUUAUGCAUGUGUGCUCCUGUGUGUGUUCAUGUGAUGCUUUCGCGCUGCACAGUUAAAGCGAGGGUGAUAAGCUGAGGAGGCUUUUCUCUUCCGCUGACCCGCCGACUCGCAGCAGAUCCAUUACAGCCCGUUUAAAACUCUGCCCGACAUUUGUGUCCUGCCUCGGGAAGUCAUUUGGCAAUGGCGCUUAUUUAUUCAGCCUUCUGGAUAAUUCACCUCGUUUACUGUACAUGAUGCUUUCGCUGCUGAUUCACAACGGUCAGGAACCUGCUGCCAGCGAUGGAAGCUCGUCUCCAUGGAGACCAGGGUGGGAAAGAGAGUGAUGAUGUUGCUGGGAGAAAAGCUGGUACUGUGUGUGUGUGUGUGUGCGUGUGUGUGUGGCCGCACGCUACAUAGAGCGGUCACUUGGUUGUCCAUAGCAACGCACGCAGGUUGAUAUUAUUUCUGUCCCACACGGUAGUGAUAUCGGUUGAUUGACAGUCUAACUUUCUCAAUGUAAUCUGAAGAAUAGCAGGAAUAACUGCAGCAAAAAGGCUGUGCGUGUGCCUGCCUUUCCAUUGGAGCUUUGCACGCCAAAGCGAUGCUCGAUGGAAGUUUCAGUGUGUUCAGUGGUGGUUUUGUGGAAAAAAAGAAAAUAGUUGCACCAUAUACCGAGCGACUACGAUGGAGAAUUCGGGUCACAUUGAAAAUUGAGAUUUCCAGAAUAAAGUCAUAAAUUUGUGAGAAUAAAGAUGUAUAUUUAUGGGAAGAAA